rnacentral:snRNA from 1 species
CAGUGUUAUAGCUCUUUUAGAAUUUGUCUAGCAGGUUUUCCAGUUUUUACUGGGAAGUCCCU